rnacentral:sRNA from 1 species
GCCAGGCAUGGUGGCACAUGCCUGUAAUCCCAGCAAUUCGGAAGGCUGAGGCUGGAGAAUCACAAGUUCUACGCCAACCUUAGCAAUUUAGUGAGAUCCUGUCUCAA